UGGGGAAUUUUGGACAAUGGGCGCAAGCCUGAUCCAGCCAUGCCGCGUGCGGGAAGAAGGCCUUCGGGUUGUAAACCGCUUUUGUCAGGGAAGAAAUCUUCUGAGUUAAUACCUCGGGAGGAUGACGGUACCUGAAGAAUAAGCACCGGCUAACCACGUGCCAGCAGCCGCGGUAAUACGUAGGGUGCAAGCGUUAAUCGGAAUUACUGGGCGUAAAGCGUGCGCAGGCGGUUUUGUAAGACAGAGGUGAAAUCCCCGGGCUCAACCUGGGAACUGCCUUUGUGACUGCAAGGCUUGAGUGCGGCAGAGGGGAAUGGAAUUCCGCGUGUAGCAGUGAAAUGCGUAGAUAUGCGGAGGAACACCGAUGGCGAAGGCAAUCCCCUGGGCCUGCACUGACGCUCAUGCACGAAAGCGUGGGGAGCAAACAGGAUUAGAUACCCUGGUAGUCCACGCCCUAAACGAUGUCAACUGGUUGUUGGGAAGGUUCCUUCUCAGUAACGUAGCUAACGCGUGAAGUUGACCGCCUGGGGAGUACGGCCGCAAGGUUGAAACUUAAAGGAAUUGACGGGGU
rnacentral:rRNA from 1 species